UUGUUUCAAGCUUGUGCAACUGGGAGGUGGAGGCGGAGGGAGGGCGCGAGCUGCCCGGCCUGGAGGUGCGGAAGUUCGCCGCCGCUGUUCAUUGGCAGGCAGCGCCGCUUUCAUCAUUUCUCAGAAAAGUCAAUUUCAUUUUCACUUACCCACGUCGCGGCAGCGGGAGCAACAAGCGGCUGCGCUAGCUGAGUGUGUAACCAUUUGAAGGGCAGCUGUCAUCAGGGACACCGCCUGGAGCUCUGUCUGGGGGCGAAAAGGAAGGCCUUCCCCUAGUAAGUCACCAGCAGCGUCCUCCCAGACUGAGUGUGCAACAGAAGUUCCCUCCCUGCAGGAUGAGAUGGGCAAGGCAUGCAGGGCUCUUAGUUCCCUGACCAGGAGUCGAACCUGUGCCCCCUGCAGUGGAAGCACGGAGUCUUACCCACUGGACCGCCGGGGAAGUCCCUCUAGAUGGACAUCCUAGGACCGUCUACCUGGAUGCAUCAGAACUCAUUUCUUUUCAAGGGAGUCGAGAAAGGACUGGUUACUUGGCCAUGCAGCAACUGACCUCUCCAUGAUUGAAGCUUAAAGAUACAUUCAAGGGACUUUGCUGGUGGCGCAGUGGUUAAGAAUCCACCUGCCAAUGCAGGGGACACAGGUUCGAGCCCUGGUCCGGGAAGAUCCCACAUGCCCCGGAGCAACUAAGCCUGUGCACCACAACUACUGAGCCUGCGCUCUAGAGCCCACGAACCACAACUACUGAGCCCGCAUGCCACAACUACUGAAGCCCGCGCAUCUAGAACCUGUGCUCCACAAGAGAAGCCACUGCAAUGAGAAGCCCGCGAACCGCAAUGAAGAGUAGCCCCUGCUUGCCACAACUAGAGAAAGCCCGUGCACAGCAAUGAAGACCCAACGCAGCCAAAAAUAAAUAAAAUUUUAAAAUUUUUUAAAAAUAAAUUUCCAGUUUGUAACAUAAAUUCAGCAAACCACAUAAUUCACUGAAUCUGAAUAUUUGAAGAAGUUUUGUUACAGCUUCCACCAUUUCCCUAUAAGCUCAUUCACAGCAUGUGAACCUUGAUGAUGUUCAGUCUGUUCUCUUUGUCCCAAAACUUCUGAGCAUUUUGAAUAACACACCUUAUCCUAUUGGAAAAUGUUUGGAAGUUUGCCAAUCAGAAAGACAGAAGAGUCAGAAAACAAAGGAUUGACAGUAUUUUUAAAUACUCCUACUUCCUCAGAAAGUUUCAUCUCCACUACAUCCAAAAGGUGCACGUACACCUCUCGGCGCUGCCUCCUUCUCCUGGAUGCAACUCCAAGACAUUUCCUAGCCGUGCUCCUCAGGUAAGAACAAGGCAAGACCAACCCCUGCUCUCCUGAAGCUUACAUUCUAGUGGGGGUGAUGUCAACAGACAGACAAACAAACCAAGAAAAUAGUUAAAGAUUUGUAUCCGUGUUCUGAGGGAAACAAACACGACUUUGGAUAGAAAAUACUGGGGGAUCUAGGUGGUCAAGGAAGGUUUCUCAAGGAGAAAAUGACAUUUAAGCCAAAACUUGGAGGAGAGGAGACUGUAUUCGUUUCCUGGGGCUGCCAUAACACAGUACCACAAGCCAGGUGGCGGAAGUAACAGAAACGCAUUGCCUCCCAGUUCUGGAAGCUGGAAGUCCCAGAUCAAGGUGUCCACAGGGUUGGCUCCUUCUGAGGGUUAUGGGGGAAGGAUCUGUUCCUUGCCUCCUGGCUUCUGGUGUUGGCCAGCAAUCCUGAGCAUUCUUUGGCUGGUAGCAGCAUCACUCCAUCUCUCCCUUCAUCUUCACGUGGUGUUCUCCCUGGAUGUGUGUCUGUAUCCAAAUUUCCCCGUUUUAUAGGGACUAGUCUUAUUGGAUUAGGGGCCCACCAUACUCCAAUAUGAUCUCAUCUUAAUUCAUUACAUCUGCAAAGACAAUCUGAGGUAUUGGGGGAUUAGGAUCUCAAUAUAUGAAUUUUGAGGGGGACAAACUUCAACACGUAACUGAUAUCAAUUGUGUGAUGAAGCCCCGAGCCAGGGGGAAGACUGAACACAAAGGCCAUGAAAAGCAAAAGGGUCUGGCAUAUUCUGGAAACCAAAAGAAGGUGAAUGUGACCUAAGAGUUCUGAAUGAGGGUAAGAAGGACACAGGCAGGUGGGCAGAGGCCAGAUCAAGGACUUUGGAUUUUAUUCUAAGAUCAAUGGGAAGAUUUUGAAGGGUUCUGUGGUUUUAAAAGGUCACGCUAUAAAUUUCCCAACUGUCCUUGGGAAUCCUUGUGAAAUGCAAGGAUUUCUUAAUUUGUGUAUUUCUCAGAAGAAUUUGUAACUGUUCUUGCACUGACCUCUCAGUUCAUUACAUGGUGAAUUUGUUGAGGAAACAAUGCAUUGGGGAUAUUUUGAAACAGUUUAAUUCUUUUUCAUUUCUUUUUGGCAUUCCUAAGGUAUUUCUUUCCCUUUAACUUUCUGUCUGAUUUUCAUCUCCACAAAUAAAUGAAGUAAAUUUUUACUUCAUUCUUCUUACCCUAUCCCCAUAAAAACUUCCCUUAAAAAAAAAAGAAGAUAUAUUCAACUGUGGAUUCCAGGCACGUGCUAUUUUCCUGUUUUGAGUGAAUGAUGAUAAUUUUCAGAGAUUGUGUCACCACAAAAUCAACAUUCAUUCCAAAAUUUAAUGGUUUCAAAUGUAUUUCUUUUUUUGAUUUCUAAAAAUUUUCAAAUUUCUUUUCCAUCAGAAACCCCUUGUGUGUAAUAAAUAGUUUCCACAAAACUGAAUUUUUGUUGGCAGAACAAUCGGCGUAAGUAAAACUUCACGAUUUGCCUUGGAUGUUUUGUAAUUUGAAAGCAAAUAUUGGUUUAAACAGCCCACCAUAUAUUUUGUCAAUGUCCAGCUGUGGAUGCUGGGUUUUUAGCACCACUUCUUUCCCGACAACCAAAAAAAAUAUAUCACUUUCUUUCCUGUUUUACAUAUUGAGGUUCUGCGUAAGAUUUCAUUUGGGGAAAAGGUUCUGUCGCUUUAAAAAAAAAAUGGAAAAAAGAUCAAAGCCACCAAUACUACUGGCAGUUAGUUUUGCUUCAUUUUCCUAUAACUGGAGAUAAGAAAGAAAACGCGACAAACCAUAAGUGAAGAACCUUAAGACUGAAGGAGAGAAAGAAAUACGCAGACCCAGGAACAGACGCCCGAGGGAGGGUUGAUGGGUGAGUUCAUGCUAGGUGGCUGGGCGGAGCCAGCCUCUGCGAAGGGGCCAACAUUGUAGGUUCACCCUCACUUGAGUUGCUCAGGUUGUCUCCAUAUUUCCUUGUUUUUAUUUCCUACCUUGAUGAGAACUUUUCAUCUUUUUAGGGAUGCAGAACCAACAGAUUCAUGACGACUCGUUUCACAAUGUAUGUGGUUGAUGCCAUGUUUAUAUGACACUUUUGACCAAGCCUUUUCCCUCAUUGAGAAAUUAGAGGAACACUACCCUAGCCCUGUCAUUUUCUACAAUGCUUACAAAUAUUUUACCACAUAUACACUCUUACUGGUAUUUCUGCUUAUGAUGAACUUAAGUAAGAUAGCAGGAAAUUUAUGCUCCAUUGAGGGUAAAAGGAAAACAAAGUUUUAUAUGUACAGUAAGGUCACCCUAAAGAUGUUCAUAUAAGUAAGGUGAAAAGGAACUACAUCAAAACAUUAAUAGUGGUUGUCUUUGAGGGAUGGAACUAUGGGUGAUUUUUUUCCUUUUGAAAAAUUAACAUUUUUAAGAAUAGAUUUUCCUUUUAUUAAUGUAAACAUUUUAAUAUAUUUUUAUAGGUGAUUUUAGAAAAUUAUUUCUUGAUAUGCUUAUGAUUUUUAUGUAAAGGACUUAUAAGGUUUUUUAAAAAUUAUUUUAUUUUUGGCUGCGUUGGGUCUUCGUUGCAGUGCGUGGGCUUCUCAUCGCGGUGGCUUCUCUUGUUGCGGAGCACAGCCUCUAGGUGUGCGGGCUUCAGUAGUUGUGGCUCGCGGGUUCUAGAGCACAGGCUCAGUAGUUGUGGCGCACAGGCUUAGUUGCUCAUGGCACGUGGGAUCUUCCCGGACCAGGGCUUAAACCUGUGUCCCCUGCAUUGGCAAGCGGAUUCUUAACCACUGCACCACCAGGGAAGCCCGACUUGUAAGUUUUAGCUAGUUUUAUCCUUGGGACUUCAAAAAACAAAGCACUGGUUAAUACAUCUUAUAUUUUACACUACAUUCUUAUAAGAAUUUUUAAAUCUCUGUGUAGAAGAUAAUUUUUUCCUACAAAUGCUAUAUAGUUUCUCCCAGUCUUUAAUUUUAUCAAAAUAUUCAUUUUUAAUGACUCUCCAAACAGGACUCUCCAAAGGAACAUAUAAAAACAAACUAACGUGUGUCCAGAUCAAUGGCUAUUAAUAAGUGAUACAUUCCAUAAUCAUUAUUAAUAUUUAAAUAAGCUUUUGCUUUGAUUCACAUCAUGUUUUAAAUAUGCCAUUUGAAAAAGUUUGACUUAGGAGAAAUCUAUAACAACUAAAGAAUCUCUUCUACUUGUAGUUUCAUUUCAUUUGUAUGCAAGAAUAUUACUAUAUUCUUAGCAAUCAAAUUCAAAUUCUUAGAUCUCAAACAUGAAUGAAGACUCUAAGCAAAUUAUCAAAAUUUUAUGUUAAAUUUUUUCUUUUUUUGCCUUUCUUCUUUCUGGCACUUCCACAUUUAGUCAUCAUAUUUCCUAUUUUACUUGCUCAACUUCCACAUAUAACAGGAUUGGCAGAAGGGAGAGAAAACAACUCAUUUGAAGGCAGUAAAGGGUAGGAUGUCUCUGUCUCUGUCUCUGUCUCUCUCUCUCUCUCACACACACACACACACACACACACACACAGAGUAGAGGAGGAUUCUCUGCAUGCAGAAACUCAAUUCAGAACAUUUUUCCCACAGAAAUAAUAAGAAACCAUGAUGGUAAAAGUAUAUAGUUUUCCUUCAUUAUGGGUUAAAAUAAGAGUUUGUGGGCUGGCCCGGGAAUACACCAUUUUAUAACAUCGUACACGUGGGAAACUUGCAUUCUGAAAUCUAGACAGCUGUUUUCAAAAGACACUAUGAGGGCUCAGUGCGUUGUGUGGGCCUGCGGCUGCCCACCCUCCGCAGAACCGUGCUCAGCAGUUUGGAGGCGAUGAGGAAGAAAGAGGCCUGCUUCCUGAUCUUGAGGCAUUUGCAGUCCACGUUGGGAGUCAGGGCCCACAGUGCAAAGAUGAUUAUUUCAAGGUAGAAAUGGCAUGUGGCCCCACUCCCAGGUAACAUUUUAAUACAUUCAUUUAUCUGUUCAUUCAGCAUCUGUUUCUUGACUUUAUAGUAAUUAUCUCUCUAUUUUUAUAGUCUAAAUGAUAUUUUCUAAUAUAAAUAAUACAUGAUUAUAGAAGAAUAUUAGAGCAAUACAGACUUCUCUGUAGUGACAAAAUCAGAAAGAACUUGAAUGUUGAUAACUGAAUGAUUGAAUAAACUGGGGUUGAUCCAUUCUGUGGGAUGUUAUGCACCAAUAAAAAAGAACAAAUUAAGAAUAUCUGUUGUUCUGGACAGGGGACCAGGAUGUAUUAUAAAGAAUGAAGAUCAAGAUGAAAAGAAAGGUUCCUAUUUUGAUCUCCUUUUUGCAAAGACAACAGUGGACACCCCCAAAAAAGUUUGAAUUCGAAAGGAUAAAGGUGUAGAUAUGAAGCUGUUAAUAAUGGUCACCUUAAGGACAGGCCUCUCACUGUUGUGGCCUCUCCCGCUGCGGAGCACAGGCUCUGGACGCGCAGGCUCAGCGGCCAUGGCUCACGGGCCCAACCACUCUGCGGCAUGUGGGAUCUUCCCGGACCGGGGCACAAACCUGCGUCCCCUGCGUCGGCAGGCGGACUCCCAACCACUGCGCCACCAGGGAAGCCCAAUAGACUCUUCUUGAGUGUCCACUAUGUUUAUGUCACUUCAGGGCCCUUCUGGUAAGAGUGCUUUAACCCAGAGCCACCUAAUAGACCCACGAUGGAGACACUUUUAAGCAGGCUGGCAUUUCACUUCCCUAUAAGGGCCUCCUGCUUUCCCUAUGGGAAAGGCCCGUCGUGGCCCUUUCUGUGUAUAUCUGCUACCUGAAAGGUAAGGAGGAGUUUCCUGAAGUGUAAAGCUGGGGGAAUGAAGGCUGUUGCUCUCAUGCCAGCCUGAGCCCUGCUCUUGUUAAGGGUUCUCUGCUUCACCCUGAUGGAUUCUCCUACAGCAUCUUACAGAACCAACACGGCUUCCCCUCCAGGCAGGCUGGAUGCAUUCACCGGAGGGAAGAAAACAGCUGCUGGAGUCUGGCCCACUGAAUACGCUUUGAGAAGGUGCUGUGUGCGUUUCUGUUCAACAUUACUGGUAUGUCCAUGAUAUCAGUUCAGUGGCCUCAGGACAAGUAGGGACCUUAGUCCAGUUUUCUCUGUACCUAUUCUGAGGAUUAUUCACCGAGUGAUAGGUGCCCAUUACAUCAGCAUGACACCUUCAUCAGUCAAGCACAAAAAUAAAUGAUUUCACGUGGUAAACAACGAAGCGUAGUAAGGAUACCAAAGAACGGCUCAGGCUUCCUGCAGGUAGUGGGAUUUGAGCUGUACCUUAAAGAAUAGGGUAAAAAUAAAUAAGCAAUUAAAACAACUAUACCCCAAUAAAAAAAAUUAAAAUAAAAAAAUGUUCACACAAUAAAUAAAUAAAUGAGAAAUUAAAAAUAGAUUUGUGUGUGUGUGUGUGUAUACUUAAUAGCCAGCUUUAAAAAUCCUUCACAGAAGCUUUCAGACUUUAAAACGUCCUCUCAUCCCACACAGAACACCCAUCUAACAAAUUCAUCUGGUCCUACAGUCCACGCCAGUUCUGUGUUUAGGCCAAAGGGAUUUUGUUGAAUUAUACAUUAAAUAUAUUGGUAUAGUUAGGAAACUAGUUUUUUCAGUUAAAAAGUGGAUAUGGGGGCAGAAAGACUCCUACAUCCAACAUGUGGAAGAAAUAUGUGCAUUUAAGAAGAUCGCUAAGGCAGCUCUUUGGCCUCUAAAACUAUAGGCUGAGAACUAUUUUCUUGGGAUACUUUAACUGAUUCCAUGGAAUGAAAGCGAAAGGUGACAGUCACCAGAUGAGUGCCUGCAGAUGUGAAUUCCUUGGACGCUCUUAGGUUAGGGCAUGUAUCAGCGGACGGGCUGAUGUAAUGUAGUGGUUCUGUCCAUGGCUACGUUCAGCAUGUACAGAAGAGUAGCCUCAAGUUAUUUGUUAAAUCAGCAUUCCGCUCACAAGUUACUUUAAUUACAUGGCUAUGAUGAUUCCAUGAUACCAGACAGCUGGUGAAAACUGAAGAAGAAAAAAUCUAAUGCUCAGAUGUUUAGCUUGUGGUCACGUAGGCAAAACACCUGUGCACUAAGCUAAUGUUUUAUCUAGAUGUUUGAUGACCUCUAACCCUUUUUCUAUAUACUUCAUUUCUUCCUGUUAGCCAGUAUAAAGCUCAGAUUAGAUUAAAAUUUAAUUUAUCUCCAAGUUUAGGCUUUAAUGAAACAAAAAUAAAGGAAUUAUAAGAGUGCUGUUUUCUGCUACAAAAAUGUGGGAGACUCUGGUUUCAGAAUGACAGAAUAAAGACAUACCCACCCAACCACCUUCUCUCAAAAUUCACCAAGAAACAUCAAGGAAAACAGGUAACAGAAAUGCAUAUCCAUCAUUCGGAAACUAGGAGAUGUCUGUGCCCACAGUACAUGGAGAGAGAAUUUGGAAAGAUGAAUAUCAAAGACUAAGCAGAGAGAAGGAAGGUCGAACCUUAGUGGCUGCAAAGGGAGUUGAGAAGUGAGCUACUUUUUCCAUACAGAACCCAGAAAAGCACAGGAAUGGGAAACUGGGCAGGGGGCAGCAGGAUUAAAUUGAUCCCUCCAGUUCUCCACCCCCACCCAGUUCCCAAGCAGUUUGUUGACCUCUCUUCUCCCUCCAGACUCUGAGGUGAGCAGAGGUGGAAUUCCAUCUGAAGCAAGAGAAUUGAGGGAGUCUGUGUGUGGAAGAGUGAAAUCUCCAUUUCUUUUCUACUGCUCGGACCCAGAACACCAACACCCAGAAUAAAAUUCCAAGAGAGGAGACUGGAGGGUGCUACCCCAGAGAAAAUACUUGUAAACAGUGAUAUUUGCAGGGCCUCGGUAAAAACAACAACUGGUCCCCCGAUCUGCCUCAGUGAAGACCACCAGUGUAUAAGACCAACACAUGUAUGCUGAGCUUCUGGUCAGGUGAGCUUUUUCGUGCCUUACUUUUAAGAGUGAACACUCAAGGGCCAAGAGACACUCUAAUAUAACCAUGAUGAAAAAAAAAACAGAACAAAGAACUCAGAGGAAACAAAGAUGGUGCAGGAAAGAAAAUGUCAAAAAAUGUUAAUGUCAUUAAAGAUGUGAGAGAAGAUAUUACAUCUACAAAAGAAGAAAAAAUGAUAUUAAAAGGAACAAUUAGAGAAUACAAAAGGUUUCCUAGAAAUUAAAAAUAUGAUGGAACAUUUUUUUAAUUCUAUAGAAUAACUGGAAGAUAAAGUCAAGUAAAUCUCAAUAUAAAGCAUAAUAAAAUAAUAAAGAAAUGGACAAUAGGAAAAAAUAAUAAAAAAUGGAUACUCACUGCAAGAGAUCCAGUAUCUAGUACAAAUUUUAGAAGAUGAGAACUGAGAUAACCGUGGACAGGAAAUUAGUAGAGGCAUAAGAAAAUUCCUCAGGAAAUUUUGAGGGACAUGAUUUGCCAAAUUUAAAAGGCACCCCAAUGUCUAACUCAAUAUGUAAAUGAAGAUAUGAUGUGAAGAUCUAUAUCAAGACAUCAUCACAAUUAAGAAAGGAAGGGAAAAAAAAAAAAAAGGAAGGGAUAGUUUGGCCAUGAAAGAGUAAUAAGGACUAGACUUGAACACCCAAGACUGGAACCUGCAGUGAACAACUAGAAAACUGGACAAAACAUAUGAAACAACAGUUUUUCAGGCAGCACAGGACAAUGAUCCUGGAGAAAAGGGAAUCAGAUGAAGUGAGCCCUGGGCUUUCUGUUGGAGGUGAUUUCCAUGCUGCAGCUGCAGGGAUGGGGGGACCCAAAUAGAAGCAGGGAAGAAACUGAGGAAACAAAGAUCAGACAUCAGAGAAGCUUAGAUAGAUGGAAGUUGAGAGGCAGAGUUCCCAAAAAGACGUAGUUACACAGAAAAAGAGCUCCAGAAAUUUGUACGGUCCCCUCUAGCGUUUGCUGAGUUCUGGACUAGGCAUGUGGAAACCAGAACUCCAAAAGGCUGGACAAAGAAUGACUGGGGCAUGGUAAACGAAAUAUUCCCAGAGCUUACACAGACCUUGGAAUUGAUCAAAUUCCCCACAGGCAGAAUGGAGAUGCCAAGCCAUUUAUGCCUCUCUGGUAGGGCUGAACAAACGCUGGAGCGGGGCUACUUUCCAUAUGUCUUAGAAAAAUUAAAAUCAGGUCUUGAAGGGAUAAAGCUGAAAUGCGAGUAAAACUAUUUGCCUAAACAAAUCCAAAAACUCAUUAAAAAUGAAAAAUCAAGCAAACAAGAACUCAGACAUUCAGCAACAUAAAAUACACAAUGUCUAAAAUCUAAUAAAAAAUUACUAAACAUGCCAAGAAGUAAGAAAACAUGACCCAUAAUCAAGAAAAAAAAGCAAUAGGAAUAGAUACAAAUAAAAGCCAGAUAUGAUGGAAGUAGAAGACAAAGAUUUUUUUAAAGAUCUUAUAAUUGUGAACACAUAUUUAAAGGAAAAUAUGAACCUAAUGAGAAAAAGAAAAGGAAGAUAUCAAAAAGAAAUAAAUUAAAAUUCUAAGAUAAAAAGUACACCAUCUGAAAGUUUAACUGGAUGAACGCAGAACCAGAUCUUGGUUUCUAAAUCCAUUCUCCAAUAAAAGAAACCAGGGCUUCUUGGAGAAAUGAGAUUCUAGAGCUGGGGCAGAGAAUAUACAGAAAGCAAGAAAGUUCUCAAAAAAACAAAAUGAUGGAGGCAUUGUCAAAGGAACAAAGGAGCCAAAUGAAAGACCUAUGCUGAGAGAGUUUGAACAAAAAAAAAACAAAAAAAGAAAGAAAAAGUAUUGGAUUAUAACUCAAAGUAUAAAAUAAAUAUUGAUGAGUCCAUACUAAUAAAAAUCAAUGAUAAUAAAUAAAUAAAUGCAAAUAUGCAUAUAGAAAAAUUUCAAAUAAUUUUAUGUAGGUCCUACUCCCUCAAGGAGGCAGAGCAUAAUUCUAAUCCCUUAAGUGUGGGAUGCGCCUAGUGAAUUCCUUCCAAAGAGACCAGUAUGGAAAUAGAGGCAAAGAUAACUUUAUAGUGGAGAAACCUGAGAAACUACCUCACCCAAGUGAUCAAAGUUAACAUCAUCAGUGAUAAAUCAUGUUGGUAGCAUGAACCCUAAAUAUGAUGUAAUGAAAAUGACUCAGUGGCCUUUGUAUCAAAAAUCCAUAACUACAAUGUGGUAGGCAGAAUAAUGGCUCCCAAAAUGUCCAUAUUCUAAACCCCAGAAUAUAUUACCUUAUGGGAAAAGAGACUUUGCAGAUGAGAUUAAGGAUAGGGACCUUGAGAUCCAGAGAUUCCCUGGAUUAUCUGGGUGAACCCAGUCUAAUCACAUGAGUCCUUAAAAGUGGAGACCUUUUACUGUCCUGUCGCCAGAGACAGAGAGAGAUGUGACGAUGGUAGCAGGUCAGAGAUGGAAGGUCAGAGAGAGUUGCUCGGUUUGUAGAAGGAGGAAGGGACCCCCAGCCAAGGGGUUGUAGAUGGCCUCUAGAAGCUAAGACAAGGACACACAAUCCCCCAGAACUUCCGGAGAGGAAUGCAGCCCUCUGACACUUUGAUUUUGACCCAGUGAGACUCACGUCGGACUUCUGACCUACAGAAUUGUAAGUAAUAUAUUUGUGUUGUAUUGUUUAAGCCACUGAGUUUGUAGUAAUUUAUUACCACAGCAAAAAAAAAAAACUAAUACACUCAGUCUAACCAUGAGGAAAACAUCAGACCAACCCAAACUGAGGGUCAUUCUGCAAAAUACCUCCUCAAAACUCUCAAAGGCAUCCAGAACAAAAAAGUAUGAGAAACUGUCACAACCUAGCGAAGCCUAAGGAGGCAUGAUAACUACAUGUAAUGUGGCAUCCUAGAGGUGAAAAAGGACAUUAGGUAAAAACUAAGGAAAUCUGAAUAAAGUAUGGACUUUAGUUAAUAGUAAUAUACUAACGUUGGUUCAUUAGCUGUAACAAAUGUCACAGUAAUGUAAAAUGUUAGCAAUAAGGGAAACUGGGUGAGGAGUAUACAGGAACUCUGUACUAUCUUUGCAGUUUUUCUGUAAAUCUAAGACUCUUCUCAAAUAAAAGUUUAUUUCAAAAAAAUUCACUGGAUAGGAAUAGCAGCAGAUUAGGCACAAAAGGCCAGGGAAUAUGAAGUGAUAGCAAUACAAUCUAUCCACAAUGAAGCACAGAGAUAAAAAAAAAAAAAAAGACUGAAAGAAAAUGAAAAUAAA